GAUGAACGCUGGCGGCGUGCCUAAUACAUGCAAGUCGAGCGAACAGACGAGGAGCUUGCUCCUCUGACGUUAGCGGCGGACGGGUGAGUAACACGUGGAUAACCUACCUAUAAGACUGGGAUAACUUCGGGAAACCGGAGCUAAUACCGGAUAAUAUAUUGGACCGCAUGGUUCAAUAGUGAAAGACGGUUUUGCUGUCACUCAUAGAUGGAUCCGCGCCGCAUUAGCUAGUUGGUAAGGUAACGGCUUACCAAGGCAACGAUGCGUAGCCGACCUGAGAGGGUGAUCGGCCACACUGGAACUGAGACACGGUCCAGACUCCUACGGGAGGCAGCAGUAGGGAAUCUUCCGCAAUGGGCGAAAGCCUGACGGAGCAACGCCGCGUGAGUGAUGAAGGUCUUCGGAUCGUAAAACUCUGUUAUUAGGGAAGAACAAAUGUGUAAGUAACUAUGCACGUCUUGACGGUACCUAAUCAGAAAGCCACGGCUAACUACGUG
rnacentral:rRNA from 1 species